rnacentral:sRNA from 1 species
CCCUAGCCCUGAUAGAAGCGAUAUCCUUUUAUUCCGCCGCGGCGGACAAAAGAUAUAGCGGAUAGCAGGAUUAAGC